GCAGUAAGUCGGUCUGUCGCCUGUUGCUCAGCAAUGGGAGGAAAGUCCGGACAACACAGAGCACCACACUUCCUAACGGGAAGAUAGUCGCAAGGCUAUUGUAGUGUAACAGAAAACAACCGCCUCGUAAGGGGUAAGGGUGAAAAGGUGGGGUAAGAGCCCACCGGUGCUGUAGGCAACUAUGGCAGCCGUACACCAUGUGGGUUGCAAGACCAUGUAUAUCACGGUUUCCUUCGGGAUACGGGGCUGCUCGUCCCGGUGCCAUGUUGCAGCCGUGAAGGGUAGGUCGCUAAAGGUAUUGGGUGACUAAUAUCUCAGAUUAAUGACAGACACCGGGCUUGCCCGGUACAGAAUCCGGCUUAUAGACUUACUGUUUAU
rnacentral:RNase_P_RNA from 1 species